GACGAACGCUGGCGGCGUGCCUAAUACAUGCAAGUAGAACGCUGAAGGAGGAGCUUGCUUCUCUGGAUGAGUUGCGAACGGGUGAGUAACGCGUAGGUAACCUGCCUGGUAGCGGGGGAUAACUAUUGGAAACGAUAGCUAAUACCGCAUAAGAGUAGAUGUUGCAUGACAUUUGCUUAAAAGGUGCAAUUGCAUCACUACCAGAUGGACCUGCGUUGUAUUAGCUAGUUGGUGAGGUAACGGCUCACCAAGGCAACGAUACAUAGCCGACCUGAGAGGGUGAACGGCCACACUGGGACUGAGACACGGCCCAGACUCCUACGGGAGGCAGCAGUAGGGAAUCUUCGGCAAUGGACGGAAGUCUGACCGAGCAACGCCGCGUGAGUGAAGAAGGUUUUCGGAUCGUAAAGCUCUGUUGUAAGGGAAGAACGAGUGUGAGAGUGGAAAGUUCACACUGUGACGGUAGCUUAACAGAAAGGGACGGCUAACUACGUG
rnacentral:rRNA from 1 species